AGUGAACGCUGGCGGUAGGCCUAACACAUGCAAGUCGAACGGCAGCACAGUAAGAGCUUGCUCUUACGGGUGGCGAGUGGCGGACGGGUGAGGAAUACAUCGGAAUCUACUUUUUCGUGGGGGAUAACGUAGGGAAACUUACGCUAAUACCGCAUACGACCUACGGGUGAAAGCAGGGGAUCUUCGGACCUUGCGCGAUUGAAUGAGCCGAUGUCGGAUUAGCUAGUUGGCGGGGUAAAGGCCCACCAAGGCGACGAUCCGUAGCUGGUCUGAGAGGAUGAUCAGCCACACUGGAGCGGAGACACGGUCCAGACGCCUAAGGGAGGCAGCAGUGGGGAAUAUUGGACAAUGGGCGCAAGCCUGAUCCAGCCAUACCGCGUGGGUGAAGAAGGCCUUCGGGUUGUAAAGACCUUUUGUUGGGAAAGAAAAGCAGCAGGUUAAUACCCCGCUGUUCUGACGGUACCCAAAGAAUAAGCACCGGCUAACUUCGUG
rnacentral:rRNA from 1 species